CUUCAAACCACCUAGGGCUCUCGUUAAAAAUGAGGAUUCUGAUUCAGUAGAUCUCGGGAAGUGCCUGAGACUUUGCAUUUUUAACAAGCACCCAAGAGAUGUCACA
rnacentral:miRNA from 1 species